UACGUAGGGGGCAAGCGUUGUCCGGAAUCAUUGGGCGUAAAGAGCGUGUAGGCGGCUUGUUAAGUCUUGCGUGAAAUCUCGGGGCUCAACCCCGAGCGGUCGUGAGAAACUGGCAGGCUAGAGUGCGGGAGAGGAGAGUGGAAUUCCAGGUGUAGCGGUGAAAUGCGCAGAUAUCAGGAAGAACACCCGUGGCGAAGGCGGCUCUCUGGAACGCAACUGACGCUGAGACGCGAAAGCGUGGGGAGCAAACAGG
rnacentral:rRNA from 1 species